rnacentral:tRNA from 1 species
UGAGGAUUAGCCAAGUGGUAAGGCAUCGGUCUCUGAAACCGAGAGGCGGUGGUUCGAAUCCAUCAUCUUCAGCCA